rnacentral:rRNA from 1 species
ACACGUGAGCAACCUGUCCCGAAGACCGGGAUAACACCGGGAAACCGGUGCUAAUACCGGAUACCCUCUACUGGUCGCAUGGCCGGAAGAGGAAAUGGAUUCCGCUUCGGGAGGGGCUCGCGGGCUAUCAGCUUGUUGGUGGGGUAACGGCUUACCAAGGCGACGACGGCUAGCUGGUCUGAGAGGACGACCAGCCACACUGGGACUGAGACACGGCCCAGACUCCUACGGGAGGCAGCAGUGGGGAAUCUUGCGCAAUGGGCGAAAGCCUGACGCAGCAACGCCGCGUGGGGGAUGAAGGCCUUCGGGUUGUAAACCCCUUUCAGCAGGGACGAAACUGACGGUACCUGCAGAAGAAGCCCCGGCCAACUACGUGCCAGCAGCCGCGGUAAUACGUAGGGGGCUAGCGUUGUCCGGAUUUAUUGGGCGUAAAGAGCUCGUAGGCGGCUUGGCAAGUCGGGUGUGAAACCUCCAGGCUCAACCUGGAGACGCCACUCGAUACUGCUAUGGCUAGAGUCCGGUAGGGGACCACGGAAUUCCUGGUGUAGCGGUGAAAUGCGCAGAUAUCAGGAGGAACACCGGUGGCGAAGGCGGUGGUCUGGGCCGGCACUGACGCUGAGGAGCGAAAGCGUGGGUAGCAAACAGGAUUAGAUACCCUGGUAGUCCACGCCGUAAACGUUGGGCACUAGGUGUGGGGCCUUAUCAACGGGCUCCGUGCCGUAGCUAACGCAUUAAGUGCCCCGCCUGGGGAGUACGGCCGCAAGGCU